GGACUAUAUCGUGUGAUAUGAGCUUGAAAAGUAAUUUACGUACAAGUCUUGAAAGCAAAUCAAGUUUUAAAACAAAGUAGCAUCUACUCUGCCCCAGCCUUGACAUCUUAUUACAUAGCAAAUGCUGGCUUUUUAAUUUCCCUAAUCAAGACUGGUCCUAUUUAGCCCACCUCCUCAAGGGGUCCCAGCACUAGCCCCACUCCGACGCCUGAUGAAGUUCCAGAACAGUGGAAUCAAGCACAGAGAUGGGCACGCCUCUUUACAGAACCAAAGAUUCAGAACUGUGCCUUACCCUUUGCUUAUGAGGCGGAGGAGGAGGAAGAGAAAGAACCACCGCAAAGAGAGAUGGCAACAAAGGUAAAAUGAAGGCCGGGCAGCCGAUCCCACUCAGGCUGACCACAGUGAGGGAGCAGCAUUAAAAUGAGAAAGGAUCAGGUCUCGAAGCCCAGCCCUUCCCGCUGAAUCUCGUCCUUUGCUUCAUCCAUUCCAUUAAAUAAGUCAUAUUGAAAAUAAAUUAUUAUUAAUACAACAGUA
ensembl:lncRNA LINC01913 long intergenic non-protein coding RNA 1913